rnacentral:rRNA from 1 species
GUGGGGAAUUUUGGACAAUGGGCGCAAGCCUGAUCCAGCCAUUCCGCGUGCAGGAUGAAGGCCUUCGGGUUGUAAACUGCUUUUGUACGGAACGAAAAGCCUCUGGUUAAUACCCGGGGGUCAUGACGGUACCGUAAGAAUAAGCACCGGCUAACUACGUGCCAGCAGCCGCGGUAAUACGUAGGGUGCGAGCGUUAAUCGGAAUUACUGGGCGUAAAGCGUGCGCAGGCGGUUUUGUAAGACAGGCGUGAAAUCCCCGGGCUCAACCUGGGAAUGGCGCUUGUGACUGCAAAGCUGGAGUGCGGCAGAGGGGGAUGGAAUUCCGCGUGUAGCAGUGAAAUGCGUAGAUAUGCGGAGGAACACCGAUGGCGAAGGCAAUCCCCUGGGCCUGCACUGACGCUCAUGCACGAAAGCGUGGGGAGCAAACAGGAUUAGAAACCCCAGUAGUCC